GACGAACGCUGGCGGCGUGCCUAAUACAUGCAAGUAGAACGCUGAAGGAGGAGCUUGCUCUUCUGGAUGAGUUGCGAACGGGUGAGUAACGCGUAGGUAACCUGCCUGGUAGCGGGGGAUAACUAUUGGAAACGAUAGCUAAUACCGCAUAACAGUAGAUGUUGCAUGACAUUUGCUUAAAAGGUGCAAUUGCACCACUACCAGAUGGACCUGCGUUGUAUUAGCUAGUUGGUGGGGUAACGGCUCACCAAGGCGACGAUACAUAGCCGACCUGAGAGGGGGGUCGGCCAAACUGGGAAUGAGACACGGCCCAGACUCCUACGGGAGGCAGCAGUAGGGAAUCUUCGGCAAUGGACGGAAGUCUGACCGAGCAACGCCGCGUGAGUGAAGAAGGUUUUCGGAUCGUAAAGCUCUGUUGUAAGAGAAGAACGAGUGUGAGAGUGGAAAGUUCACACUGUGACGGUAUCUUACCAGAAAGGGACGGCUAACUACGUG
rnacentral:rRNA from 1 species